rnacentral:rRNA from 1 species
UACGUAGGGGGCGAGCGUUGUCCGGAAUUAUUGGGCGUAAAGGGUGCGUAGGCGGGUCUUUAAGUCAGGGGUGAAAUCCUGGAGCUCAACUCCAGAACUGCCUUUGAUACUGAGGAUCUUGAGUUCGGGAGAGGUGAGUGGAACUGCGAGUGUAGCGGUGAAAUGCGUAGAUAUCAGGAGGAACACCUGUGGUGUAGACAGCUUACUGGACCACUUCUGACGCUGAGACACGAAAGCGUGGGUAGCAAACAGG